UUAUAUUGCACUGUGCCCGCGACGGAGUUGCCUGUUGCUGCGACUGUGGACCAACAUUACACCGUGCCAAUAUCUGCGGAUUAGGUUCAUACAACCGGGGAAGAACAAGCUCAUUGCGGCAGCUAUGUGCCGAAUGUAAACCGUGACAGCGGUGCACCGGGAUUCUGUGAAUUUUGGUUGACAUUAUUGUUUCCGUGGUACGGUUGUCGAAAACCACCACUGUUUCCCCCACGGUUCAUUCAAUGGGAAGUUACCACUUGGGCUCUGCAACUGCGGAACGGGCAUAUUACCAUUAACCGAAAGCUGCGGCGCCUGUCCGUACUGCAUUGGCCACUGCGGAUACUGACCAUUCUGCGUCACUGCU